AUGUCAUACUUCCCCUAAAAUUUAAUUCCAUCUAAAAAUUUUCCAGUCUAAACCCAAGCCCGCCUUUCAAUUCCUAUUGCCCCCAAAUUCACUAUCUUCAACGUUUUUUUGGUUUUCUUCUAUUUCUAUAUCUAUCCCUCUCGAUCCGAUCUAGACCCCCGUUCUCUAAAACGACCGACGAAACUGCAUCUGCCAUGUUCUCGACAACCAUAGAAUCCUUUCGUUCCUGUUCAUCAUCUCUGUUAGCCUAUUUUGAACUGUGAGUUUUUGCCCUAAUUUGAGUUUUGGGAAAAAAAAAACUGAUGGCAUGGAGUUCUAGAUUGGGUGUGAUCUUGUGGUUUCUGCUGCAAUUCCACUUGCGUAUGGAACAUCUAAUCCCUCCUUGAUUCGUAUAGCAAACUAGACUCUGGUCAGGUCAUUGUAAAUACGGUACAAAUCUUACAAAGCAGUUAACAAACUAUUUGCGUGGCGUUCUUGAUAGCUGUGGAAGUGUAAGAAUUUAUUUCUCAAGGAGGACUCCAGAUAAGGUUGCUAAUUUCGUGCGGAAAGAACUUGGAGACCAUCCAAAAAUCUAUGUAUAUGAUGGUGAAGAACCAAAUCCUCACAUUGGACAUCUAGCUUGGGCAGAUGCUUUCAUUGUCACAACCGAUUCAAUCAGCAUGUUGAGUGAAGCCUGCAGCACUGGGUCCACAAUAAGUGGUAACGAGAACAGAGGAAAAUUUCCGAUGACCACAACACCACAAUUGAUUUCUUGCCAUUUUCCGGCUCAAAACGCAGGAACCUCUACUAUCAUCUUAGAAAGUAUUUGGUGUAAAUGAGCCCUUUCUACCACUUCAAGGACCUUUACUUCUUAACUUGACUUGAGUUCAAGUUAUCCGACUAAGUUUGGAAAGUAUUUGACUAAGUAUCUGAUGAAGAAGCGGAUGAUGACACGGAUAUGACAUACAUUUAUUACAUUUUAUAUGCUAGGUAGUUUUAUGACGUGUUUGUGAAUUGUGACUUAAAACGAACCCGGAUUGUGACGUUUAUGCUUAUGUUUUUUUUUGAAAGGCAACCAUUUAUGCUUACGUUUAUGCUU
rnacentral:lncRNA from 1 species